AGCAGCCGCGGUAAUUCCAGCUCCAAUAGCGUAUAUUAAAGUUGUUGCAGUUAAAAGCUGUAGUUGAAUUUUCGGGGAUUACGUAAGUCAGGGUUUGGGGUUCCGGUUGGCCCAUUCCGGGGUUAACCGGUUAACCUUGGGUGAUUUACCUUGGUUCCCUAACCCUUUGCAUUUCCGCUGCCAAUUCCCCAUUCAUGGAUUCGAAUUAAGUUUCGGUUGGUUGGCAAUGGGGGCCAAUUUCAAAUUUGGGGAUCUGGUUUAGCCAGGGUUUAAUGCAAAAAUUUGGAAGCAGUUGUUUUUAAAACGUUUCAGGGCUAAAAACUUGACGGCAUUGGUAAGUUU
rnacentral:rRNA from 1 species